GACCAUUUUCCAAACCAUGGAAGAAUUCAGGGAUCUGCAGAACCUGAAUGGAUAAACCGAGAGAAUAUCCUUCGCCCAGUAGAAGUACAAGACAAGAAAGAAGACACUUCAGGUAAAAAUUUGGACGUUGCUUGGAAAAACUGGGAGUUUUUCCUAAAAUCGGU